rnacentral:rRNA from 1 species
UUUUGAGGUCUAGCCUGCUCACUGAUAAUUUUUAAAGAGCCGCGGUAUUUUGACCGUGCAAAGGUAGCAUAAUCAUUAGUCUCUUAAUUAGGGGCUUGAAUGAAUGGCUUGACGAGAAAUUAACUGUCUCUUAUUAAAUUAUAGAAUUUAACUUUUGGGUCAAAAGGCUUAAAUUUUACUUAAAGACGAGAAGACCCUAUAGAGCUUAAUAUUUAAUUUUUAUAUAAUUUUUAGAUAGUCUUUUUAUAUUUAAAGAUAAUAUUUUGUUGGGGUGACAUGAAGAAUUAAUAAACUCUUCAUUAUAAAAUCAUUGAUUUAUGUYUAUUUUGAUCCAUAAUUUAUGAUCAUAAGAUUAAGUUACCUUAGGGAUAACAGCGUAAUUGUUUUUGAGAGCUCAUAUUGACAAAGCAGAUUGCGACCUCGAUGUUGGAUUAAGAAUAAUUUUGGGUGUAGGAGCCCAGUAAUUAGUCU